rnacentral:lncRNA from 1 species
GGCUAGUGUAUCACAGAAGAGCAGCAAAAGACCGUGCUCCAUACAGUAUGCUAAUGGAUGCGUGAAUCUCUCCAAAAUAUGUAAUCUUCAGUUACAUACACAUGCAGAAAUGCAAGUAUUGUAAUGCCUGAAAUACACCCUCAGUUUACUCCAAUCACUUACUGUAAUCCUUGAAAUACAUGCUCAUAGCUGCAUCUGAUCACUGGAAAGCAAUGAAGAGAAAAUGAAGAAUGAAGAAAGAAGAAUCAGAUAUUCUGAAGAACUGCAAAGCUGUGAACACCUAUGAUGGCUGUGGCAUAGAAGACUACCCAUACCUGUCACUACAGAUCACACAACUUGUGGCUACAGCUGGAACAGUUCCCCCAAGACAAAAGAGGAGGUCAGAAACUGCAAUGCUUUAUGUUUCAGCAGUGACACUACCAUGGCUCCAUUGUUCACAUGCUGUAUUUCUUCCUCUUCUUUUUUGUUAUUCCUCUGGCAUGAAGACAUCACUUCAUCUUUGCCGAAUGCUCAACACCAGUCACAACUCAGGAGCUGGUCUUCUCUUCGAUGCUGCAUUAGUGCUGUGGAGGCAGGUAUUUCUUAGAAAAUGUCACAAAAGGUGCACACAUCUGUCUUUCUCAGUAACAGCCUGUAGCAUGGAUAGGUUUUCCUUCCUGCAGAAACUUCAACUGCAUGUUUCUGUUUUCUCCUUAGAAGUACCGCCUUGUGCCCCUUCUCUGUCUCCAUGACUUCACCCCAGUGUGACCACUUUGCUCCUGUGCCAGCCCAGUCCUGCUCCUCAAGCACAUGGCUUGCCACUGCAUGCAGCACCUUACAGAUGCUGAAGACAAUUUCACACUGGCAGACCUCUGGCUCAGAAAGUAGACUCAUCACAGCAUCAUGGCAUUCAGAUGAGGACACUGCCUCGGCAUGGUUUACAGAGGAAGAGGAAGGGAUAAGAAGAAGUCACCAACAGCCUGAGAAAACAAUAAGCUUAAUGAGAAUCCCUGAACCUACCCUUCCCUAGCCAAGUCUCUCCUUUCUCCUGUAAAUUUGUCCCAGUUAUAAUAAAUGCAAAGCCAGUUGUUGCUUCA